UGCAGUCGAGCGCUUCCUUCGGUGAGGAGCGGCGGACGGGUUAGUAACGCGUGGGAAUAUACCCUUCUCUAUGGAAUAGCCUCGGGAAACUGAGAGUAAUACCAUAUACGCCCUUCGGGGGAAAGAUUUAUCGGUGAAGGAUUAGCCCGCGUAAGAUUAGAUAGUUGGUGGGGUAAUGGCCUACCAAGUCUACGAUCUUUAGCUGGUUUGAGAGGAUGAUCAGCAACACUGGGACUGAGACACGGCCCAG
rnacentral:rRNA from 1 species